rnacentral:rRNA from 1 species
UGGGGAAUAUUGCACAAUGGGCGCAAGCCUGAUGCAGCAACGCCGCGUGAGGGAUGACGGCCUUCGGGUUGUAAACCUCUUUUGUCAGGGAAGAAGCGAAAGUGACGGUACCUGGAGAAAAAGCACCGGCUAACUACGUGCCAGCAGCCGCGGUAAUACGUAGGGUGCGAGCGUUGUCCGGAAUUAUUGGGCGUAAAGAGCUCGUAGGCGGUUCGUCGCGUCUGCUGUGAAAUCCCGAGGCUCAACCUCGGGCCUGCAGUGGGUACGGGCGGACUAGAGUGCAGUAGGGGAGACUGGAAUUCCUGGUGUAGCGGUGGAAUGCGCAGAUAUCAGGAGGAACACCGAUGGCGAAGGCAGGUCUCUGGGCUGUAACUGACGCUGAGGAGCGAAAGCGUGGGGAGCGAACAGG